UGUUGGGCCAAAUGGCCUGUUUCUACACUGUAGGGAUUCUAUAAUUUCUAUGAUUACUCAGUCAUAUACAAGAGAAAUGAGAUAGCCUCUCUGGUGACUUUCACACUGCUGUAGCCCAAAUGGAGAUCAAACCUCAACCUUAGAGUUAUACAGACAGUUACAUAAUCAGUAAAUGUUACUAAGAGGAGCUCCUGCCAUCCAGCCCUUCCAGCUGAAAGGCACAUCAACAAAUCACGGGUCUGUGGCUCACAACUUUCAUUAAUUUUAAUUGAGGGAAAGUCAGAGGAUGUUUGCUGACAACGUGGAUUCUCAUCAAUCCAGGACCCAGGCUAUAACCUUCAAAAGGACUGACAAAGAACACCUGCUUUUUCUAACUGAUGCAAAUACGCAUUCUUUUAAGAAAAUUUCAGGAUACCUACGUUCUCACCACCUUUUUGCUAUAUGAGGAACAAUGGCAGCAAAAGCAAAACAAUUCCCCAGGCCUGGAAGUGAGAGUUCUUUUAUCUUUUCGUUGCUGCAUUUUAAAUUUCCUGCCUCUCUAUCUUGUGAGUAAGGUUCCACAGCAAAAGCAUUCAGAAUCUGUAUUCC